GAUUUGUUUUAGACUUGAGAGAGAAAUGGCCUCUUUGACACUCUCAGUCUCCGCUGCUACAGCUACAACACAGUCACAGCUCACACUACUCCGAUUCCACCGACGGUUUCCUUCAACGCAUUCCAUUCCUCUUCUCAAACUCACUCCCCUGAUUACUCCCUCAUCUUCCUUCGGAUGCAAGUCGAGAGGCACUUCAGUAGGCGUCUGGAGCUCUACAGCGAAGUGGUUUCUGGGUUAUUAUUUUGGGUGUAUAUUUGUAUAUAAUCUUAUGUAUUUAACUCUCCGACAACUUACUUUAUUUUGGUACCUCUUAGAGGUUUUAUGGAGAACUAGGAUUUUUAAACAUGUAUCUUUGGGUUAAAGGUUGUAUAUUUUGUAUGUGAAUAUUCUCCGGCCAACCUUAGCUUCGUAGACUGAGUCGGAGGCUUGUUAUCUUAUAUUCUUGACC